AUUGAACGCUGGCGGCAGGCCUAACACAUGCAAGUCGAACGAGUGGCGGACGGGUGAGUAAUGUCUGGGAAACUGCCUGAUGGAGGGGGAUAACUACUGGAAACGGUAGCUAAUACCGCAUACCAUCAGAUGUGCCCAGAUGGGAUGAGCUUGUUGGUGGGGUAACGGGUCACCAAGGAGACGAUCCCUAGCUGGUCUGAGAUGAUGGCCAGACCAACUGGAACUGGGACACGGUCCAGACUCCUAAGGGAGGCAGCAGUGGGGAAUAUUGCACAAUGGGCGCAAGCCUGAUGCAGCCAUGCCGCGUGUAUGAAGAAGGCCUUCGGGUUGUAAAGUACUUUCAGCGGGGGGGCGUUACCCGCAGAAGAAGCACCGGCUAACUCCGUGGCAGCCGCCGCGGUAAUUC
rnacentral:rRNA from 1 species